rnacentral:rRNA from 1 species
AUACGUAGGGUGCGAGCGUUGUCCGGAAUUACUGGGCGUAAAGAGCUCGUAGGUGGUUUGUCGCGUCGUCUGUGAAAUUCCGGGGCUUAACUCCGGGCGUGCAGGCGAUACGGGCAUAACUUGAGUACUGUAGGGGAGACUGGAAUUCCUGGUGUAGCGGUGAAAUGCGCAGAUAUCAGGAGGAACACCGGUGGCGAAGGCGGGUCUCUGGGCAGUAACUGACGCUGAGGAGCGAAAGCAUGGGUAGCGAACAGGAUUAGAUACCCUGGUAGUCCAUGCCGUAAACGGUGGGCGCUAGGUGUAGGGGUCUUCCACGACUUCUGUGCCGUAGCUAACGCAUUAAGCGCCACGCCUGGGGAGUACGGCCGCAAGGCUAAAACUCAAAGGAAUUGACGGGG